UACAGAGGUCUCAAGCGUUGUUCGGAUUCAUUGGGCGUAAAGGGCGCGUAGGCGGCAAGGCAAGUCGGGUGUGAAAGCUUGGGGCUUAACCCCGAAAGGGCACUCGAAACUGCCCUGCUAGAGGGCCGGAGAGGAGAUUGGAAUUCCCGGUGUAGCGGUGAAAUGUGUAGAGAUCGGGAGGAACACCGGUGGCGAAGGCGGGUCUCUGGGCAUCUCCUGACGCUGAGGCGCGAAAGCGUGGGGAGCAAACGGG
rnacentral:rRNA from 1 species